rnacentral:sRNA from 2 species
UUACAUACCACUCAUGUAAUUUGUCUCCGACGGCUGACCACGGAUGUACUGGCAGCCGCCGUUGAGACAGAUCGAGGAAGGUCGGUGCGAAUUUCGCCCGGCCUUUUUUCUU